AGAAGGAAGGGACCCCUAUGAAGUAGAGCCUGUUGCGCUUUUACCCGCAGAACUCAAACCUAUCCGAGGGUUAGGUGAAAGGGAUCGGGAGAGCAGUUGAAGACCUCUCGCCUUCGUUGAGCGUAUUUCAAAACCUCCCUAAAAGUGCACUUGGGGAGUUUAACGACCACGCUUGUACCUGUACGACUCUUUCUUUCACCUUGAAAAUCGAGUUGGAAUGCUUUUAGAAUAGAAUGCUUCGUAACCUCACCCUUUCCAUCGUUAACACUCCUUAAGCUUCGCUAAAGCGACUACGUACCUCGCUGCUGUUAAGUGUGAAUAUCCUGAGACCCGAGACUCUACUACUACCCUUUAUCAAGCUGGUUUACAAUAGUGCGGGAAUAGCGGCUAAAAGAUUCCCAAUAUCUUAUAGCAUCUUAGAGUAAAGGUAAUAAGAUCUUUUAGGUAGCUUUUUUUAUU
rnacentral:lncRNA from 1 species